CCAAAGAUCACUCAAGAACAAAAAUAAUAGCUGAAGAACAAGAGAUUCUGCUUACAGAGACAUUUAAUCAAACACACGGCAGACGCAAAUUACAGCUGAUUAUCAUCAAUUCCAAAGCUCUGAUACCAUGUCGAAAAGCUGCGUACAUUAUAAAAGAAACUAUAACAUUGAUGUAUUCUGAAAGCAAAACAUAAAAGAUGAAGAAAUCAUGAUGUUUAUGAAUUAGAAAGAAAUCACAGAUAACAGAAUAAAAAGAAGUAAAAAGAAGAACAAGUGAGAGAGAUUUUGAGUGUAACACUCUAUUUCUUAUUCAACAUUAUAAGCAUUCAGAAUGAAGAGUAGCACCUAGGCUACUUAUAGCAGUUCAGGUGUUCUAGAUAAUUUGUUAGCAAAAAAUAACAAACAAGUUACAGCUUUACCAGAAAUAACAGACUUAAAUCAUAAGCCAGUAUCAAGCAUUUAACAGAAAUACUAAACCAGCACAAGCACCUUGCGAGAAAGCUAUAUUGUGCUUAUCUCAAACAUAUUAUCGAACACCUGCAUAUCAUUCUUACUGCCUGAUACCCCCCCUCUUUUUGGUGUCUAAGACAAAUUCAUAUCUAAUUGAGUCAAGUCGGAUCCCGAUGAGUAGGAGCACUUAUUUUCUCAGUGUGUCUGCACUCCUAUUUUGACAUAUUCGUCUAUACGAUGACUAUCUUCAGCAGGGAAUGCAUCACCUUCGGUAGCUCCUAAGGCUUUCACCAUUUCCAUCCCCUUAAGUUGGUGGAAAUCUGGAACUCUAUUCUUGAUGCUUCCAACCUUAACAUACUUGGUCUUGGCCUUAUACUCCGCCUCCAAUUGGAAUGGACCAAGGUCUGAGAUGCCACUAUUUUAAUUCUUUUGUUUUCUUCAAAAAAUAUCUUUGCAUGGGCUCUGCUAGCUUCCUUUAGUUUACUCCAAAAAAAAGGCAUAAGGUCCAUAAAACAUACUGCAAAAAAAGAUGAAAUUCAGGUUGACAGCUUAGAACUUUCUGAUUCAUUUAAUGCGUAAUGCUUGCACUUAUAUGAUUGACCAUGCCUCA
rnacentral:lncRNA from 1 species